rnacentral:rRNA from 1 species
AGAGUUUGAUCCUGGCUCAGAACGAACGCUGGCGGCGUGCUUAACACAUGCAAGUCGAGUGCGCGUUCCGGUAGCAAUAUCGGAAUGGCGCACGGCGCACGGGUGCGUAACACGUGGGCAAUCUGCCCUUCGAUGGGGAAUAACUCCGGGAAACCGAAGCUAAUUCCGCAUAACAUUCCCUGGACUCCGGUUCGGGGAUUCAAAGCCGUAAGGCGUCGAAGGAGGAGCCCGCGCCCGAUUAGCUAGUUGGUAGGGUAACGGCCUACCAAGGCUAUGAUCGGUAGCUGGUCUGAGAGGAUGGCCAGCCACACUGGAACUGAGACACGGUCCAGACUCCUACGGGAGGCAGCAGUGGGGAAUCUUGCGCAAUGGGCGAAAGCCUGACGCAGCGACGCCGCGUGGGGGAUGAAGCAUUUCGGUGUGUAAACCCCUUUCGACUGGGACGAAUGCCUCGCAAGAGGAGUGACGGUACCAGUAGAAGAAGCCCCGGCUAACUACGUGCCAGCAGCCGCGGUAAGACGUAGGGGGCCAGCGUUGUUCGGAAUUACUGGGUGUNAAAGGGUUCGUAGGCGGUGCGGCAAGUCGGGAGUGAAAUCUAUGGGCUUAACCCAUANGCUGCUUCCGAAACUGCUGUGCUCNANUGUGG